UAAAACAGCCAUAUUACCCAGCAGCCCAAGACCAAUUACUCACUGGAGCUAAGCACUGUAAGCAGGGCUGAGCCUUGUCAGUAACUGGAUGGGAGACCACAUGGGAAAACUAGGUUGAAAGUGGUGUUAG
rnacentral:rRNA from 1 species